rnacentral:misc_RNA from 1 species
UUUCCGUAGGUGAACCUGCGGAAGGAUCAUUACAGUGUUCCCUGCCCUCACGGGUAGAAACGCCCACCCUUGUAAAUCUAUCUUGUUGCUUUGGCAGGCCGCCCCCGGGCACCGGCUUCGGCUGGCUCGCGCCUGUCAGAGGACCCCAAACUCUGAAUGUUAGUGUCGUCUGAGUACUAUAUAAUAGUUAAAACUUUUAACAACGGAUCUCUUGGUUCUG